rnacentral:rRNA from 1 species
GCUACGGGGUGCUGCAGUGAGGAAUAUUGGUCAAUGGACGAGAGUCUGAACCAGCCAAGUAGCGUGAAGGAUGACUGCCCUACGGGUUGUAAACUUCGUUUAUAAAGGAAUAAAGUGAGGCACGUGUGCCUUUUUGUAUGUACUUUAUGAAUAAGGAUCGGCUAACUCCGUGCCAGCAGCAGCGGUAAUACGGAGGAUCCGAGCGUUAUCCGGAUUUAUUGGGUUUAAAUGGAGCGUAGUUGGGUUGUUACGUCAGUUGUGAAGGUUUGCGGCUCAACCGUAAAAUUGAAAUUGAUACUGGCAGUCUUGAGUACAGUUGCGGUAGGCGGAAUUCGUGGUGUAGCGGUGAAAUGCUUAGAUCUCACG